rnacentral:lncRNA from 1 species
GGCACCUUUACCUUGAGGUGUGCUUAGCACACAGCUGUGGCACCAAGUGAAUAAUCACACAGUUAAAUAGGAGAGCCAUACUCAAAAUCAACUGGACUUAGGGAAUCUGGAAAUUAAUCCUUAAUUCUUUUCCUUAAGCUUCCAGAGUGAAGUUUUAUAGUCUAAACUUACGUUUUAACGUAACUGCUCUCCACUUCAUCCCCCACCUCCCUGUGGAAAUGCCAAGUCCCAUGUGCCUUUUCCUGGAAAUGGCUAGAAUAAUAAACAACUCAAGAGAGGCAAGGGAAAGAAAGAGAAAAUACAAAACUGCAGAUGACUGAUAAGUUCUUGAAAUAUUUGCACAUCUCCUACAUUACUACAUACAUGAACUAGUUCUGCUCGUGUCACACCAAUAUAACUCUUUAAAAUUUUAUUUAUUUGCCUAAACUGUAAUCAUUCCUUUCUUAAUGUAUGACACUUUGAAUCAUUUAUAUAUAUUUUUUGCCCUUAGAUAUAAACUAAUAGCUUUAGAGAGAUCUCUUUCUUCCACUCCCCUAUACGUGUGUGUUUCAUGUAAAAGAGUUUUUUCCU